UACGUAGGUGGCAAGCGUUGUCCGGAUUUAUUGGGCGUAAAGCGCCCGCAGGCGGCUUGCUAAGUUUCAGGUGAAAUCUCCCGGCUCAACCGGGAGGGUGCCUGGAAAACUAUCAGGCUUGAGUCAUGGAGAGGGAUGUGGAAUUCCCGGUGUAGUGGUGAAAUUCGUAGAGAUCGGGAGGAACACCAGUGGCGAAGGCGCCUAUCUGGCUGACAACUGACGCUGAGACUCGAAAGCAUGGGGAGCAAACAGG
rnacentral:rRNA from 1 species